ensembl:snRNA U6 U6 spliceosomal RNA
GUGCUCUCUUCAGCAGCACAUAUACUAAAAUUGGAAAGAUACAAAGAUUAGCAUGGCCCCUGUGCAAGGAUGACACACAAAUUUAUGAAGUGUUUCAUUUUUUU